rnacentral:rRNA from 1 species
GACGUAGGGCGCGAGCGUUGUCCGGAUUUAUUGGGCGUAAAGAGCUCGUAGGCGGCUUGUCGCGUCGGAUGUGAAAGCCCGGGGCUUAACUCCGGGUCUGCAUUCGAUACGGGCAGGCUAGAGGAUGGAAGAGGAGAGCGGAAUUCCCGGUGUAGUGGUGGAAUGCGUAGAGAUCGGGAGGAACACCAGUGGCGAAAGCGGCUCUCUGGUUCACACCUGACGCUGAGGGGCGAAAGCGUGGGGAGCGAACGGG